rnacentral:rRNA from 1 species
CAGUCGCCGCGGUAAUACGUAGGUGGCAAGCGUUGUCCGGAAUUAUUGGGCGUAAAGGGCUCGCAGGCGGCUUCUUAAGUCUGAUGUGAAAGCCCCCGGCUCAACCGGGGAGGGUCAUUGGAAACUGGGAAACUUGAGUGCAGAAGAGGAGAGUGGAAUUCCACGUGUAGCGGUGAAAUGCGUAGAGAUGUGGAGGAACACCAGUGGCGAAGGCGACUCUCUGGUCUGUAACUGACGCUGAGGAGCGAAAGCGUGGGGAGCGAACAGGAUUAGAUACCCCGGUAGUCCCUGUCUCUUAUAC